AAUUCCAUUCCUAGUUUGAUUGAAGAGGCUGUACAGUGUAUGCUGCUAGUUGCUUCUAGUUCAGAUACAUUAAGAACUCUGACUAAAAAGACUGUGAAAAGUAUUUUAUCAAAAAAGGAUUCAUUUCUACCAGCACUGCAGGAACUAAGCACCCAUACUGACUCAUCCUACCUGUUGAGACCAAUAUUCAGGACAAUACUUCCAUCAAUUGACUUUGAGGGGGUCUGAAACUAAAGCAGAGGGUCUGGGACAGGUUUUAUAUGAUUUAUCCAGUAAGACUGCAUUAGAGGCAGCGACUGUUUCAUAUAAUUAUUACAAAGGAUUUAUUGGAGCAGUUCUGUACUAGUAAUAAAAGUGGUAAAAAGUCAGCUGCUAUGAAAUAUCCUUUUUUAACUGAAGUAGUACAAGCAUUGACUAACAAUUAUCCUUGAACAAUGAUGUCCUUAAUUUCUAUCAUCACGACACUUCUGUACGACUAUCGGCCGUCAAAUC